rnacentral:rRNA from 1 species
AAACCAGCACCUCAAGUGGUCAGGAUGAUUAUUGGGCCUAAAGCAUCCGUAGCCUGCUCUGUAAGUUUUCGGUUAAAUCUGUACGCUCAACGUACAGGCUGCCGGGAAUACUGCAGAGCUAGGGAGUGGGAGAGGUAGACGGUACUCGGGAGGAAGUGGUAAAAUGCUUUGAUCUCUCGAUGACCACCUGUGGCGAAGGCGGUCUACCAGAACACGACCGACGGUGAGGGAUGAAAGCUGGGGGAGCAAACCGGAUUAGAAACCCCAGUAGUCC